CUCAGCAGUUUCUGUUUCGAAUGGGCCCCCUCUUGGGAAACCUUGAGGUGUGCACUCGCCAAAUUCGGAGAAAUCCUCUCUUAAAAAAGAAGGACAAUUCCGAGCUAAAUUCUCCGACACAGUUCGGAGAUAAAUGUGUAGAGACUAGAUGGCGAGCUCCUUAAUCUUAAUUUUUUAAGAAAGGAGAUAGUAUAGUCCAGACCACAAAUUCAAUAUGAA
rnacentral:ncRNA from 1 species